CGGCUCUUUAUCUGGUAGACUUGUGCAAACGCCCCAAGCUGCCUGGUAAAGAGCUGUC
rnacentral:pre_miRNA from 1 species